UGCAGCACCCGGACGGGUGCGGGCCCUGGAAGUCGGUUCUAAACUAGGGCAGGCCCGAGGUUGGGGCUGGUUUCUCCGUAACCGCAAAGCGCUCCUCCGCCUGAAGGGCAUUAAAAUAAUAAUUUGUAGUGUCUGGAGAGCGGGCGCUGUUCAUCUGCAGAGUUCCUAGAGGGAAGCCUGGAAACACAGCAAUAUAAAUACAUGAAUAAGCAUCACAGCAUACAUAAUAAAGUGAAUAAGCACCACAGCAUACAUAAUAAAGCUCUUCCCAUCUAAAUUACACAACAUACACAAUAAAGCUUUCUCCCUCUGAAACACUGGUUUCCAACCUCUUUGGCCUACAUCAGUGAAAGCUAACAAGAGUUUUGCAGUUUUACAGCCUGCUCCAUCGCACACCACCUCUGCUCAGCCGUGCCCAUGCCAGGGCCGAGUGCUGAGUCACUUGGACGGUCCUGGCGGCCACCCGCUAAAGCCUUUGGCUGUGCUGGAUGCCUGUGUCAGCGCGGAGAUGGGUUACCACCCCAUGACAUGGCACAUUAUAAUACUGCAGUAUUGAUGCUGUCCAGGUUUGGUCACCUCCCUGUGGAUAAAGACCUGAGUAACCUUGCCUGCUCUUAUUGCUCACCCUGCCUUGAGCAGCAGUUGGAUCCAGGGACAUCCCAAGCUGCCUUCCACCCUGAGUCUUCUCUGUGACCCCCUUCAGGAAGAAAAAACAUCAUGGCAGUAGAUGUUUUAACUAUGGGUGGCUUGGUUUGUUAGAAAUAUCUGAAGUAAACUACUGCUAAGGAACAAAACGAGGAGGAAAGAAGAAUCUCCCCGAACUGCUGUUAGUGGUGAGAAAAAUCACAGGCUGAAUCUUUAGCCUAAAGGCAUGGCCAGGAGGCCUUAGAAAGCUGCCCAAUAUAGUAUACAUUUCAGAUGUAUUACAGCAAUUUCCAAGUGUUCCCGUUGCUGCAGUAAGAUUUGGAAAGAUGUAGCUCUCGGGUCCACACCCUCGUCAUUUAAAUAAACAUGCCUGCCGCUUUGGGUGGUUGGCA
rnacentral:lncRNA from 1 species